CUGUAUGUAGAUGUUGUUGGAUUCAGACCAUAGUCGAAAGAUGGGGGCCUUUUGUGCUCUCAGGUUUGGCUAGAUUCCAAGUAUUUGGAUUUUUUGGGUCAAUGGUCUGGCUAGGUUCCAAAGAUGGC